UUAAGCGACUAAGCGUACACGGUGGAUGCCUAGGCAGUCAGAGGCGAUGAAGGGCGUGCUAAUCUGCGAAAAGCGUCGGUAAGCUGAUAUGAAGCGUUACAACCGACGAUACCCGAAUGGGGAAACCCAGUGCAAUUCGUUGCACUAUUGCAUGGUGAAUACAUAGCCAUGCAAGGCGAACCGGGGGAACUGAAACAUCUAAGUACCCCGAGGAAAAGAAAUCAACCGAGAUUCCCCCAGUAGCGGCGAGCGAACGGGGAGGAGCCCAGAGUCUGAAUCAGUUUGUGUGUUAGUGGAAGCGUCUGGAAAGUCGCACGGUACAGGGUGAUAGUCCCGUACACAAAAAUACACUUGCUGUGAACUCGAUGAGUAGGGCGGGACACGUGACAUCCUGUCUGAAUAUGGGGGGACCAUCCUCCAAGGCUAAAUACUCCUGACUGACCGAUAGUGAACCAGUACCGUGAGGGAAAGGCGAAAAGAACCCCGGCGAGGGGAGUGAAAUAGAACCUGAAACCGUGUACGUACAAGCAGUGGGAGCACCUUCGUGGUGUGACUGCGUACCUUUUGUAUAAUGGGUCAGCGACUUAUAUUUUGUAGCAAGGUUAACCGAAUAGGGGAGCCGUAGGGAAACCGAGUCUUAACUGGGCGUCUAGUUGCAAGGUAUAGACCCGAAACCCGGUGAUCUAGCCAUGGGCAGGUUGAAGGUUGGGUAACACUAACUGGAGGACCGAACCGACUAAUGUUGAAAAAUUAGCGGAUGACUUGUGGCUGGGGGUGAAAGGCCAAUCAAACCGGGAGAUAGCUGGUUCUCCCCGAAAGCUAUUUAGGUAGCGCCUCGUGAACUCAUCUUCGGGGGUAGAGCACUGUUUCGGCUAGGGGGUCAUCCCGACUUACCAAACCGAUGCAAACUCCGAAUACCGAAGAAUGUUAUCACGGGAGACACACGGCGGGUGCUAACGUCCGUCGUGAAGAGGGAAACAACCCAGACCGCCAGCUAAGGUCCCAAAGUCAUGGUUAAGUGGGAAACGAUGUGGGAAGGCAUAGACAGCCAGGAUGUUGGCUUAGAAGCAGCCAUCAUUUAAAGAAAGCGUAAUAGCUCACUGGUCGAGUCGGCCUGCGCGGAAGAUGUAACGGGGCUAAACCAUGCACCGAAGCUGCGGCAGCGACACUUAGGUGUUGUUGGGUAGGGGAGCGUUCUGUAAGCCGUUGAAGGUGGACUGUGAGGUCUGCUGGAGGUAUCAGAAGUGCGAAUGCUGACAUAAGUAACGAUAAUGCGGGUGAAAAGCCCGCACGCCGGAAGACCAAGGGUUCCUGUCCAACGUUAAUCGGGGCAGGGUGAGUCGACCCCUAAGGCGAGGCUGAAAAGCGUAGUCGAUGGAAAACAGGUUAAUAUUCCUGUACUCGGUGUUACUGCGAAGGGGGGACGGAGAAGGCUAGGCUAGCCGGGCGACGGUUGUCCCGGUUUAAGCAUGUAGGCGGAGUGACCUGGUAAAUCCGGUUGCUUAUCAACGCUGAGGUGUGAUGACGAUGCACUACGGUGCAGAAGUAGUUGAUGCCAAGCUUCCAGGAAAAGCCUCUAAGCAUCAGGUAACAUUGAAUCGUACCCCAAACCGACACAGGUGGUCAGGUAGAGAAUACUCAGGCGCUUGAGAGAACUCGGGUGAAGGAACUAGGCAAAAUGGUGCCGUAACUUCGGGAGAAGGCACGCUGGCAUUAGGUAAAGAGACUUGCUCUCGUAGCCGAAGCCAGUCGCAGAUACCAGCUGGCUGCAACUGUUUAAUAAAAACACAGCACUGUGCAAACACGAAAGUGGACGUAUACGGUGUGACGCCUGCCCGGUGCUGGAAGGUUAAUUGAUGGGGUCAGCCGCAAGGCGAAGCUCUUGAUCGAAGCCCCAGUAAACGGCGGCCGUAACUAUAACGGUCCUAAGGUAGCGAAAUUCCUUGUCGGGUAAGUUCCGACCUGCACGAAUGGCGUAAUGAUGGCCAGGCUGUCUCCACCCGAGACUCAGUGAAAUUGAACUCGCUGUGAAGAUGCAGUGUACCCGCGGCAAGACGGAAAGACCCCGUGAACCUUUACUAUAGCUUGACACUGAACAUUGAGCCUUGAUGUGUAGGAUAGGUGGGAGGCAUCGAAGCGUGGACGCCAGUCUGCGUGGAGCCAACCUUGAAAUACCACCCUUUAAUGUUUGAUGUUCUAACUCGGCCCCGUAAUCCGGGGUGAGGACAGUGUCUGGUGGGUAGUUUGACUGGGGCGGUCUCCUCCCAAAGAGUAACGGAGGAGCACGAAGGUUAGCUAAUCACGGUCGGACAUCGUGAGGUUAGUGCAAAGGCAUAAGCUAGCUUGACUGCGAGAGUGACGGCUCGAGCAGGUACGAAAGUAGGUCUUAGUGAUCCGGUGGUUCUGAAUGGAAGGGCCAUCGCUCAACGGAUAAAAGGUACUCCGGGGAUAACAGGCUGAUACCGCCCAAGAGUUCAUAUCGACGGCGGUGUUUGGCACCUCGAUGUCGGCUCAUCACAUCCUGGGGCUGAAGUAGGUCCCAAGGGUAUGGCUGUUCGCCAUUUAAAGUGGUACGCGAGCUGGGUUUAGAACGUCGUGAGACAGUUCGGUCCCUAUCUGCCGUGGGCGUUGGAAGAUUGAGAGGGGCUGCUCCUAGUACGAGAGGACCGGAGUGGACGAAUCACUGGUGUUCGGGUUGUCAUGCCAAUGGCAUUGCCCGGUAGCUAAAUUCGGAAGAGAUAACCGCUGAAAGCAUCUAAGCGGGAAACUUGCCUCGAGAUGAGUCUUCCCUGGGGCUUUAAGCCCCCUGAAGGAACGUUAAAGACUAUGACGUUGAUAGGCUGGGUGUGUAAGUGCAGCGAUGCAUUGAGCUAACCAGUACUAAUGAUCCGUGAGGCUUAACCUU
rnacentral:rRNA from 1 species